AUGGAGAGAUGAAGAGGAGGAGAGGGAGGGAGGAUAAAGUCUGAGUCAUGCUGAGAGAUGAGGACGAAGAAUUCAAGCAGAGAAAAUUUAUGGGGGAAUGUGAGUGUCUGUAGGAAUUUAAAAAGAAAAAAAACUUGAGAUGGCAACGAAGGAGGGAUGAAGAGGAGGAGGAGAGAGGUUGAUUAGUAUUCUGGCUGGGGGAGAUGAAUGGAAGACGAGAGAGAGAAGGAGCUGGAGGAGGAGAAGCCGCAGGUGACAGAUGUCCUACAAGGAUAGAAGUAUGAGACAGCGUUCAGCUUCACGGGACUGAGGAUUAGAUCAUCCGUCUUCAUCGACUGAAUCGCAGAGCACCGCCGCUGGCAGACGAGCAGCGCAGCGUCCUUGUCUCGUCCUCUGAUCGGAGAGGACGCAGGUGAGGAGGGAGGAGACGGGGGGCUGAGGAGGCCGUGUGGGAUUUAUCAUUCAUAAUUCAUUCAUAUUUCUCAGGAUAUGAAAACACAGAAAAAACAGCAAGAGUUCAUUGAGAUAAACGAGGUGUUUUAUAACAUUUUAGGCAAAUUGUUUUGAUUGUUUUUCUCAUCAAUUUUUAAUUUUCAAUCACUCUGCAGGAACUCGCUCACCUUCCUGAUCACUUCUGUCUUUGACUCAUCCGUCUCUUUGUUCAUGAACUCUGCCUGAGUCACGUCAGGUUACAGGAAGUUUAAUACUCAGGAAAGCUUCUUACCAUCUGAUGCUCGGCACUUUGUGGGAAAACUGUCUUUAAAGAAAUAAAAAAGAAGAUCAGAGUAGUUUUAAAUAAAAAGACCGAAAGCUCCCGAAAUUCUCGAGCUGUGGAUUUGUAAUAUUCUCAUAUCACUGGAGCUUCUCACUUCUGACUGCAGCUGAGAGCAGCGACACUCGGAGCCAGAGUUAUUUACAUAACCAAUAAAAUAAAGAAACUCACAUGACAUUUUCUUUUGAUGAGUGACGAUAAAGAGUGACGAUAUCGUCUCCACUCCGUCACCAUUUUAAUGCUAGUGACAUCACUUGGAGUCGGUAUCGAGGCUCCCGCCCACACACGUGCUCAACCAAUCGUGAGUCAGCGUCAUCGGCGACAUCAAUCAUGACGUCUCGGCCCGUUUUUGUUUUUUUUUCAUCAUCAAACUGAUCAGAAAACGGAACACGUGAACACAUGUCAGUGUGAUGAGAACCACCUCGCAUUACGGAAACAUCGACAUGUCCCCUCUGCUAACCUGGAGGGGGCGGGGCUUAUGACUCUAUACUGCAGCCAGCCACCAGGGGGCGUCAGGAGGAUUUGGCUUCACUUUUGAGGAGCUCCAUGUUUGAGCUUUCGACUUCACCUGUGUCUUUCUCUGUCAACUCACCCGUCACGGAGGCCGAUCCGCCACGACGCGGUGGAAUGAAAGGUCAUUUUACCGAGGAGAGCCGGUGAGAUGUGGUUGAAAGCUCCAGAAAAAAUAAGAGUUUGUCAAAUUGUCAAACUGCUUCUUCCACGGAAAUCUUUUUUUUUUUUUAUUCUGUGUUUCGCUGCUUUUGUCCAAACAGGUUGAAGCUGAAAUGUCCACUUGAGACCGUCACCGUCAAAUCACACACAGUCAAUGAAACAAUCAGAGACUCGAGUGUGACUCGGAACAAAUGAAACAAAUAAUAGAAACAAGAUUCAGAUUGAAUCUGAAAUGAUGGAGUUGUGAAGUUGAUUUUUUCUCCUGGUGUCUCUGCACGUUGUUAAUAUUUUCACCAGAGGGCGCCACCGAGCAGUGAAAGAGCUGGGUUCCUUUGGUCUUUCCCAGACUGUCCAUGCAUCCUCCUCCUCCUGCUCCUCCUCCUCCUCCUCCUCCUCCUCUUCAUCCUCUUCAUCCUGGAGGUCAGUUCACCGCUUCUUCUUCUUCUGACUCGUCUGAAAACAAAUCACCACAUUGUCUCAGAUUUGAGCCUCGAUGUGGAAUGAAGAAGAAGAAGAAGAAGAAGAAGAAAAAGAAGAAAAAAGAGAGAAAGUGGGAAUGUCGCAGUGGGAAAAUAAAUGAUCCCCACGGAGAAGGAUUGAACGAUCUAAUGUGUCUGAUUCGUGUUGUUGGGAAUCUCUCCCCUUGGUCAAAUAAUUUCAUAUAAUCAAGGAUUUUCAGUUUCAGUUCUUUGUGAUAUGUUCUGUUUUAUAAGUUUAUUCAAAAGGGACCAUGUACAUUAAUUAACAUGCGUGUAGAUCAUACUAAUCAACAUAU